ACUUGUUGACAAAUUCAAAAAGCACUUUGUGCUCUGGCCUCAUUUCACUCUUCUGGAUUUCCCUUGCCUCUAGCACCUCUUCAGCAGUGUUGGUGUCACAGAAAUUCCUUGUCAUUUGCAGCUCAUAAGGCAACCCAUCCAAGCAAGGCCACCUCUGCCUGGCAUAAUCAUCAAACCCCUCACAAGCAAUACCUAGAAUUUUUCCCAAUUUUUCAGCAUUGAAUUUCACUUUGACACCCCUCACUUUACUGGUUACCUGACUAUUCUUCACUUUUCCAUUGGCCAUGAACUCCACUAGUUCCUUCCUUGCCAAUUUUCCGUCAAUCUGAAGGACCAUGUCCUUUCAGCCUUGUGUCGCCAGUGCUGUGACAAGCCUUAUCAUGCCUGGCUCCUCCAUGUCUUUCAGCAAUCUCUCCUUCAAUAUCUUUCUUUUGUCAAAGUCUGCAUACCUAUCAUGUUCUUCUUCAGACUCAAUUUCAUCUUCUUCUUCUUCUAUGGCUGCUCUCACUUGUUUUCUCUUAGAUGCUAAUCUUGUUCUCUUGGGAAGAGAGGAUUCAAAAGGAACUGGUUUUAAGGGCUUCUUUGAAGAAGUCCUAGUCUCAUUUGGUUUUGCAACCUGCACAGUAGUAUUUCUUUCUUGAUGGACCAGUUCCAUCUCCUCUUCAUCCUCUUCAGCUGGAACUUCUGAACUCACACAUAUCUUCCCUUUCCCUUUUUCUUUUCUUUUUAUCUUACUCUCCUAUAAAGCUUUCUGCAACUCAGCUUCGCUCUCCCUAACCUUGCUUCUAGUUGUCCUAACCCUAGGAACAGACUUGGGUGUUGAAGGUUUGGACUUCUUGGUUGGUUUGGACGCAACAGAGGUCCUUUGUGAGGAAGCCUUGUGUUUCUUGGGAUCAUAACUUGCCCCAACCUUCUUCAUCAUCUCAAAUAGAGUUCCCUCUGCAGAUAGACCAGGUUCAACAGUUAGUUUGCUCAAACCAAACCUUCAGCAGCCUCUUCAGACUCACUUCCCCCUGACUUUGAGGCCCCUUUUUCCUACCUCCUACAUAUAGCUAGCACCUUCUUCGUCUUAUUUUUCUUCAAUUUCAUAGAGUCACCCAUGGAAACAUCUUUAGCAGCCCCUAUCAGAAUAUACCUAUUUUCUACCCUUUCCCUUAAGUCAUCGGAAACAACACUUGGAUUUACCUCUUUUGGGGUUUCUUGUUGAGUGACAUUGUCAGAAGGCCUAGGUUCAUCUCCUUCACUGACAGAGAUGUAAUCAUCAGACUCAAAACUGGAAUCAGUUUCUUUUGCUGGAGAUUCUUUCUUUUGACUUGCCUUCAAUCUUUUCUUUAGAGCUUUCCUCAAGGGACCAGUCGCAACAGCUUUUCUUCCUAUCAUUUUUGUGCGACAAAAUCUGGGCUUUGGGGUCUCACUAGGAUGAGGUGGUGUUAGGUGACACUGGUGGUGUGGUUGUAGGAUUAUCUUGGGGAUUCGACAUUUUGGUGAAGAAUUUCUAUAAGGCUUGAGAGAAUUUUGGACAAUUUUUGAGGGUUUGGAGAAGAGAGUGGAUGAUCGGGGUUUUGAUAUGAUGGAUAAGAAUGAUU
rnacentral:lncRNA from 1 species